UACAGAGGGUGCAAGCGUUGUUCGGAAUUAUUGGGCGUAAAGGGCGCGUAGGCGGUGCGGUAAGUCUGCAGUGAAAUCUCUGGGCUCAACUCAGAGUCUGCUGUAGAAACUGCCGUGCUUGAGUGUGGGAGAGGUGAGUGGAAUUCCCGGUGUAGCGGUGGAAUGCGCAGAUAUCAGGAAGAACACCAACGGCGAAGGCAGCUCGCUGGGACGUAACUGACGCUGAGGCGCGAAAGCGUGGGGAGCGAACAGG
rnacentral:rRNA from 1 species